CAUUGAUAUUGGCAUGACAUCUAAAUGGAUCGGAUGGAGUGAGUUUGCUGUAAUGGAAAUCGAGGCUGAUAGAACAGAGACAGAUUCAUGAUGUGAGUGUUUGAGGCGUGGCAACACUGCUGCUGGGUGUGUGGACAUUGGACCCAAACAGGUCUCAAAUGCAAUAAGUGUGUGUGUGUGUGUGUAUGUGCACACUUGGUAAGAGGUUUCCAUGUGCAUUUGCUUUGCAAUAUUUUGCGCAUUCCCCUUCAAACAACCAAGUUUGUUGCGGGGCCCGAAGUUUGCUAAAAUACCUCGUUGUUAGUCCCGCCAAGAGUAAGGCUCCACUCUCAUUUUCCCCAGAGAAGAGUAGAGUUACUACUUUGAUGGCAAACAGAGCCAAUGGAAAUUGUCAUCUUUCCUAGUUAGAAUCCCAAAAUGGAAUCAGUGUCACGUACUCAUCUACCUCGUCAAUAAAGGCCACGACCGAGAGAUCCAAGGACAUUUGUUAAGACUGCUUACGAAGCAGGGAACCGUUGGUUAUAUAUCUGUUAUAUGGUUGUGAUAUAUUCGAAAGAAUACCGUUCUGUUCAACACAAAAUCGAUUUUGAGGAGCUCUUUUGAUUGCUCAUCUAACAACCACUGAAAGAGAUUUGAAUCUUUGAGUUCAGGAUUAAAAGCAUGAAGACAAUUUUCAACAAAAUGAAUGGAAAAUUGUUUUAUUCUUUGUGAAUCCGUUCUCCUUUUGUAUCAUGUGGUGGGGCGUGUUCCCCCAAUCGAGUUGCUUGAAUACUGAAACCAGAUUCACCAUGUGAUGGAGCAGACACAUGUGAAGAGGUCCAAUUGCCAUUUUAUGAACACCCAGAUCUCUCGCAUCGCAUGGAACUCAUUUAAGAUCCGAGGGAACAUUGUCACAAGGCUGCGCCAACCAACCAGCGGUUUCCCUAUUUUGGGUCAUCAGAUAUCAUAAAAGUAAACCACUGGCGACCCCUCUUCACAACCACUGAUUGGACCGACAACUCGUGGCUUGGCUCUUGGCCAAGAAAAGAAGAGGAUUUCAACGUCUCUUUUCUCGUCAGUGUUGUUGAUUUUGAAUCUCGAUCUCGAGGGAAAAAAAUCGGGAAGCAGGGAGAAGCAGAAAGGAAUGGGCAUCAACCGUUUCACCACUAUAUUACGGGGGCAGUUUCAUUUCCCAUAUCUGCUUGGCUUCACAUCCGUACGCGCAAUAACAACCCACCAUCUUGAGGGCCCAAAGCACACAACCACAAAUUCCAGAUUCCGUUUUCCCUGUUUCAUUUCUUUGAAAGGGGAGACUCUCGACGAUCGCGCUCAGUCUUACAUAUUUAGUACCGUGUAUACAUUUCUGACCCCGAGUCAUUUUUGGCUGGGUAACCUUGGAGCUCACUUGUUCCGAAGCAAAUUGUGGGUACGAACAUCUCGUGUUUCAACUCUCUGUUGAAUCCCAUUGGUUGGGCCAGGCGGAUGAUCUCGUCUGAAGAGAAAUGGUGAAAUCCUAACAAUUCCACUUCAUCAGGAAAAGUUCCGCCUCUUUCUCUUUAAUCAAUGUUGUCGUCUGGGUCGACAUGGUCUGCAAGAGAAUCUCCGAUCGUGAUGUCACUCCACUCUAACAAGACUCCACAUUCUCGUCAUGAAACGUUCUACCCAACAACGUCUUUAGAGACUCACUUUAGGAAGUCUACCAACAAGUCUCUGUUCUGCUCUCUCCCUCCGAAUCCGUGUAUCUGUGUCUAGUUGGUUGGUUGGUUGGUUGGUUGUAUCUUACGCUAAUGCUCGUGGUGGAAAAGGAUGUUUUUAAUCUGUCUGCGAUGAGUGAUUGAGCUCAACAGGAACUUGACAUGACUUUUCUAAUCUUCAUCCCGUUGGUUGAGAGUUCGUGUGUUGUGAUUUGACGACUCAACUUGAAGUGCUCGACGAGAUAGAUCGAGACGUGGACGAGGUCUUGGCAAGUUGCCGAUGGUUUCGAAGUUCAAAUAAAUGUGGGAUGAUCUAUGGCUUCGAGCUUUAGAUAAUUGCAUUGGAGACUCGCCUCCUUCUCCAGAGGCCUCGACAAUCAAUCUGGAAUGAUGUUGAUGAUGAUGACUUUCGCAACCACGACCAUCUCCAUCACCACAAUCCAUCCAUCCAUACGCACAUAUGCAUACAUAAAUAAAGAUUCAAGUAUGCUACGAGAAAGUUGGCCGAAAUUCAGCCCAAGAACCCGUUCCGAGAAACCUCCAACCUUCCAAUUUUGGGGGCGACGAUCAACGUGUCAAAAUUCUUUCACCCGAUCCCUUGGACUGGAACGUCAGAGCUGCCGACACCGUCAAAAUGUUAUUGAUAGCACAGUGAUUCAAUCUAAUUUGAAACUGGACAACAGUAGUCAUUAAAGCCACACAAACCAGAUCUAAGCUACGGUACCACGGUCCACUUAUUACGUACACAUACCGGUAGAUUGGGUGUUGGAAAGCCAUUUACUGAUGCCGUACCUUCCUAACCCCAUCAGUGGAGAAUGGCUCCUUGGCCAUUUCGGAAAUAAUGCAUCGGAAGAAUUUUGCGCUUAGCAUGCUAUGGAUCAAGUCUGCAAGAUGCACCACCGAGUGACGACGCCAUGUUGAAGUAGUGAUGGACGACAAACAUUAUUGCGAGAACUCGAGAAGGGACAGGAAUGUUUUAAUGAAGUUGAAUAAGAUUCAUGCUCCAAAUUUGGCCACGACCAUCAUCAUCGUCAUCAUCAUCAUCAUCUGAGCUAACCAGUUCGAUUGGCAGUGAGGGCAUUCAUGAAUGAAAGCGAUGCGGAUAAAGAGGAUUGUCGACCCAACCCUAUAAAACUCCAGGCACUUGUGGCAUAAAUGCACCAAAAAGCUCGAAGAGAGUCGAAAAAACCACCAACCAACCUGGGGAUAUCCAUCAAACCAACGAGAGUGGAGACGAGAGCGGACUGCCAAGAAGAACAAUAAAGACCAUAAAAAAGGUGCCAAACCGUGAUCAAAGAUUGAAACAAAACGGUAACCGACCAAUACGCCGCCCAAACAUCGGGAGCUUCAUUUUCUCGUUGUUGACAAAAUAAAAUCGGCCCUCUCUCUUCAUCAAAGCUGGUUUGAGUUUUGGUGGCCUGGGAUCAGUGGCAAGGGAUAACAAAAUCUCGAGGAGCCCUAAAUUGGGGUUAUAAAAAGCAAAAUUCGAAAAUUCGUUCGACAAGGUCAAAAGUGUUCGGUGGGUAUUGAUAGUUAGCUAGCUAGCACCCUGCACACGCUCAGUACACGAUCUGAUUCUUCAUUGCGCACAACCUU